GCGGGAAGGUGUGCGAAAUGAGCCAACACCUUUUCCAGAAGGGCUUCAGUGUCACUGGAGACGCAGAUGCGGUUGCAGCUGCCAAGGCGGCCUUUCAGAAGGAGAGCCCAAGCCAGAUGAACGACCUCUCUGUGAUGUCGAUCCACAAUAGCCGCUUGAGCUCCAUCAGGCCGAAGCUUACGAGUCUGCUGCAACAAGCGCAGAUGACUGGUGAGAUACAGGCGCCACGGUGCAGGGUCUACUUGAACUCCACUGGCGCUGCCAUCGCACCUGACACACCGCUGAGUGCAAUCGUGGAAGC
rnacentral:ribozyme from 13 species